rnacentral:rRNA from 1 species
UACGUAGGUGGGCGAGCGUUGUCCGGAUUUACUGGGCGUAAAGAGCGCGCAGGCGGUCGUGCAAGUCGCGUGUGAAAGCCCCCGGCUCAACUGGGGAGGGUCACGCGAUACUGCUCGACUCGAAGGCAGGAGAGGGAAGUGGAAUUCCCGGUGUAGUGGUGAAAUGCGUAGAUAUUGGAAAGACCACCAAUGGCGAAGGCACUCUACUGGGCCACUACUGACACUGAGAGACGAAAGCUAGGGGAGCAAAUGGG